rnacentral:lncRNA from 1 species
GUAAAAAUGGUUUGGGGUCCUGCAACUUUGCCAGCCCAAAGCCAUCCUGGCCUCCAACCUUGUGACCAUGGACAAGAGACUCCAAAAUCACGCUCUUUGUCCAGUCCACAAAGCUGGGAGCUGGCCACACAGGCUGCCUGGCUGCUGUCUGUUUUGGCAGAAGCCUUCCUACCUCGACCAAGAAGUUCUUAAGGCCAGGUGACUCCCAGGGACCAGUAGGCAUUUGAAAGUGGCAGUGAAGGUAUAAGUGGGAAAGAUCAUGCUUCUUUCUAGGUACAGAAGAACAAUUGGGAAAGGGAUUUGAACCAGUUUGCCUCUAAGCCUAUCUAUUUUUCCCCAUCCCUUUUGAGAGAAGCAUUGCCUUCUCCUUAGGGGUACGUCUGGGAGCUGAUGAGACUGAAUGGAGCCAGAAGGUACAGGCCCAGUCCUCUCUGAUGCUGUUCUCAAGCCAAGUGACCUGAGUCCAGGGUCCCCAGCUGAGCUCUUGGCCCCUUCAACCUACCUCACAGGGUUGUUGUGAGGAUGCCACAAGAUAAUGUGCCCAACACAGAGGAA